CAGAGAAAGCUGACAUCUAGCUCAGGUUGUUUCUUUCUCUUAGUUUCCCAGACAACCUGGUUGCUGUUCAACACUCUAAUGAAUGUGAAGUUUUACUGAUGUCAAGAUAAUCAUUACAUUUGAUUCUGCUCAUAUUCAGAGCACUUAGAAAGACCAUGAAUGUUGUUUGACACCUGAAGACAGAGAAGGUGGCAGAUGGAAAUAGUUUUCCUUUCAGGAACCCAGUAACUUGUGGUCGCUGGCUGCUACAGAAAAGAACAGGAAAGCCCGAUACAAUGGUACACAUAUGUGAGCCCUGCCCAGGCAAAGGCAGGAAGAUCAUGAAAGUCUUGUUUACAUUACAAUAUC
rnacentral:lncRNA from 1 species